rnacentral:lncRNA from 1 species
AUUAUUUACAUUUCGAGUGGGAACAUAAAUAUCUUUAGAAAUAGACAAAACAAUAUGCCCCUUUUUAUUGUUCAGUCUAACUCACCUUCAUAAAAGUCAACGCAUUGAAAUAUCAAUCAAUCCAGCAAUUGCUUUUUGUUAUGUGCUGCAGUAUGGAUCCUCAGGGACUCCAGACCGUGUGAGCAACUAACAGGAAACAACACCAGAUGUGCUGUAUCAGCCAUUGAUUUUCGUCCCUGAUGAAUUCAGUAAAAGCAGUUUGAAAGCUCCUGCCUUAAAAACUCUGAAGCAGCCUGGGGUUUGGAUGUGGAUCAGGGAGUCACAACCACGCUGUAAAGCCAAACAGCUAACCUGCGACACUGCUGGGCACAGACUGAGCUGAAGUCACCGAGUAUACCAGCAGCUGCAGAUCCCACUGAGCAGCGCUGACGGGAUGGGAUGGAGCCCAGGCCACCUGCUGGCCUGAGAUGCAAGGUUCCCUCUGGCUGCCGACUCCAAGAUCCCUUGCCACCUGUGCUCCUGCCGCCGUUCUCCGCCAUCUGAUAAGCACUCUCUGGGCCCUGACACUGACCUGAACUGGACCUGGGUUAAGCCCAAGUCACCCCGUCCUUCUGGGAAGGCUCUGUGGAGUCUCCCACAUUUCUCUCCAGCUGCCUUCACCUCUCCCUUGCUCCGUGGUCUUGAGGGCUCAGCCUUCCAGCCCCCAUUCAUUAAAGUUCAUGAUUUUCAAUCACAAAGAAAUGGCUACUUUACCAGAAAAAGCAGUCAGUUUGCUUAGGUAUUUUUCCAGAGACAAAAUGGAAGUUAAAUGAAAGGAAUAAAGUAUCGCAUUCCACCUAAGCCAGUGGGUAGCUUUACUUGAAAAACUGCCCGAAUGUCCCUGUUUUGUCGUUGAGUGAACAGAGGAGCGGAUGUGAGCAUUUUUCAGCAGAGAUGUGCUGCUUUGCAGGGAACAGGCAAUAUGGACGCAUGUAAAAUUCUUGCUUGAGGAUUAAGAGUCCAAAUGUGUUUUAAGAACUGGCUAUGCAAAAUCUCAGAUAUAACUGAUAAACUGUUGUAAUCUGGUUGGCAUAUGGUCCUGCCUGUACCACACUUUUUCUUUCCCUAAAACACAAUUUGGCUUUCUACUUGUUGAACAAACAGAUAUGGCAAAUAAAAGAGGACAGCAACCUCUGCCUCCAGCAUUCAAGUGAUUCUCUUGCCUCAGCCUCCCGAGUAGCUGGGAUUACAGGCAUGCGCCACCUCACCCAGCCUUAUGAAGUGAUUUUUACAUAUGACAUUAGAGAUAUCAAAGGGGAGUGUCUUAUGGUAAAAAAGCUCUACACGUUUUUAAAAACAUGAUUCCACUGGUAUACAUUUUUCCAAUAAAACUCCAAAAUUGAUCCUAUCCUAAGUAUAAUCUUAUCCUUC